rnacentral:rRNA from 1 species
CGAAAGCCUGACGGAGCAACGCCGCGUGAGGGACGAAGGCCUCUGGGCUGUAAACCUCUUUUCUCAAGGAAGAAGAUAUGACGGUACUUGAGGAGUAAGCCACGGCUAAUUCCGUGCCAGCAGCCGCGGUAAUACGGGAGUGGCAAGCGUUAUCCGGAAUUAUUGGGCGUAAAGCGUCCGCAGGCGGCCUUUCAAGUCUGCUGUUAAAGCGUGGAGCUUAACUCCAUUAUGGCAGUGGAAACUGAUCGGCUUGAGUAUGGUAGGGGCAGAGGGAAUUCCCGGUGUAGCGGUGAAAUGCGUAGAUAUCGGGAAGAACACCAGUGGCGAAGGCGCUCUGCUGGGCCAUUACUGACGCUCAUGGACGAAAGCCAGGGGAGCGAAAG